AACGAACGCUGGCGGCAUGCCUAACACAUGCAAGUCGAACGAGACCUUCGGGUCUAGUGGCGCACGGGUGCGUAACGCGUGGGAAUCUGCCCUUUGCUUCGGAAUAACAGUUAGAAAUGACUGCUAAUACCGGAUGAUGUCUUCGGACCAAAGAUUUAUCGGCAAAGGAUGAGCCCGCGUAGGAUUAGGUAGUUGGUGGGGUAAAAGGCCUACCAAGCCGACGAUCCUUAGCUGGUCUGAGAGGACGACCAGCCACACUGGGACUGAGACACGGCCCAGACUCCUACGGGAGGCAGCAGUGGGGAAUUUUGGACAAUGGGCGCAAGCCUGAUCCAGCAAUGCCGCGUGCAGGAUGAAGGCCUUCGGUUGGUAAACUGCUUUGUACGGAACGAAACGGU
rnacentral:rRNA from 1 species